rnacentral:rRNA from 1 species
GACGAACGCUGGCGGCGUGCUUAACACAUGCAAGUCGAACGGAAAGGCCCUGCUUUUGUGGGGUGCUCGAGUGGCGAACGGGUGAGUAACACGUGAGUAACCUGCCCUUGACUUUGGGAUAACUUCAGGAAACUGGGGCUCAUACCGGAUAGGAGCUCCUGCAGCAUGGUGGGGGUUGGAAAGUUUCGGCGGUUGGGGAUGGACUCGCGGCUUAUCAGCUUGUUGGUGGGGUAGUGGCUUACCAAGGCUUUGACGGGUAGCCGGCCUGGGAGGGUGGCCGGCGACAUUAGGACUGAGGUAGGGCGCAGACUCGUACGGGAGGCAGCAGGGGGGAGUAUUGCACAAUGAGCGGAAGCCUGAUGCAGCAACGCCGCGUGCGGGAUGACGGCCUUCGGGGUGUAAACCGCUUUCGCAUGUGACGAAGCGUGAGUGACGGUAAUGAGUAAAGAAGCACCGGCUAACUACGUG